rfam:Angiostrongylus costaricensis strain Costa Rica genome assembly, scaffold: ACOC_scaffold0002470
GGAGGUAUAGCUCAGGGGUAAAGCGCUCGCUUCGCAUGCGAGAAGUAUGGGGUUCGAUUCCCCAUACCUCCA